GGCCUCCCUCUGCAGGGCGAUUGAUCGUGGAGCACCCCCCCCAUCAAUCACCCCGCAGAGGGUGGCC
rfam:Myotis lucifugus cont2.45571, whole genome shotgun sequence.